rnacentral:tRNA from 1 species
AUUUAAAUAGCUUAAUUAAGAGUAUAACUUUGAAGAAGUUAAGGUGAUUAUUGAAUCUUUGAAUA